CACAGUCGACUGCUGGCUACGCGCGGGCGAUUGCCAGUGCGACACUGCCCCUGACGCGCCGCAUAAGCAUAACCUGUGCUGUGAAAAACCGAGCACUUUUCAUGAGUUUCUUUGAAGUAGACUUUUUUACCUUUUAGUGUGAUUAUUGUUUCUUUUGUUUUACAGUUUUGGACAAGUUCGUGAAUGUGCUAGUUGGUGGCCAUCACAUUUCACACAAUGGUCUGUACCAGUACAGUUGUUCAAGGGGUGGUGUUGGAUUCAACAUUUCGCACGGAUACAUCUGCACAGCAAGCUCACUGCUGCUUGUCAUGCAAAGAGAGCAGAAGCAGUCUAAAAGCUCGCUUGCUACACUGCAAAAAGAAGGCUCGACUACAGCUUACAAACAUUGCUGGGAAGCGGCUACAGUAUGCCAUGCGUACCCUACGACGAAGGAACAAGUUGUGCUCGCUACAGGUUGCUCUAAAAAAUCUACAAGAAAAAAACAUGGCAAUCAAGGCAACCUUUUUCAAGCGAGAGCUUAAAGAGCUCCCAAAAAAGACAGCAAUCUGCUGUGCGUGCGUGCUUUGAAGCGUCAAGGAGAUACUCCAACCGUGGGUACUGUUAUAACAAAGAAUGGCUGCUGGAAUGUAUCCUCCUGUGAAUGAAAAGUGCACGACUGUAUGAGCACUUGAGAUCCCACAAAAUCCUUGUGCUACCUAGCAGAGUCCGUCUGCAAAGAUAUAUGAAUGUAUUUGAGCCGUGCCUUAUUUUUUACAUGAACAAAAAAAGUUACUGAUGUUUCUAUUUACAGGGAUUCAAAGCUUCGUAUUGGUUCAGUGCCAAGCUUCUUGGGUGUGUUAAAAAAAAGUUGAA